UUCACAUCAGUUUUAGGUAGAACAGCAGUGUAUUAGAAGCACCUAAACCUGCGGGACACAGGAUGGAACAAGGAGUGUGUGCCAGUACCUUGAUCCCAAAAGAAUACAAUAUAUCAGGCAAGAGAAAAUACCAUGAUUAAAGAAAAAUGUCCAAACCCACAAUUACUCAAAAUCACGUUGCACAGCUGCUCAGUACAGGAUCCCCCACUCUGACAAGCUGAGUACAGAGGAAAAGUAAAUAGAUAAAUCCCUAGAUUAAAUCUACAUCUUUGUCUGAAGUGCCUGACUGAGAAGAAAUGACUGGAACAGUUCCAAAACUUUUCAUGAAGUACAAGAACAGCAGGGAAGAAAAUAACUGUGCAGUAAUGUUAAUGAUGGCUUUUUUCUCUUUUCCCCCUCCAGCAGUCAGUUUUACAUUGCACCAACUACCAUGUGACGCACUCGACUGAACUGUGUGGAAUAUGUACUCGUAACACAUGUGCUCAUCCUUGAGGGAAGCAGCAGUAGAUGGUGACAGUAAACAAGAGCUACCUUCCAUAGUGUUGUAGAUUUCCUGGCAUUUCAGCACGUAUUGGAGAAUCUCUUCCUGCUAACUGAAGCAAAAAAGAACACACAGAAGAAAAAACAGUUUAGAGGCCUUCGUCACUGGAUGUGAAAAUGAAACACUGCAGCUAGAUGCAGGGAUCCUGCUAGGAGUAUCACUCAUCUCCCCCAGAUUUCUUCUUAGUGUGAUGUCAAGGAAUGUGAGCAACUAUCUGAGUGUCGUGGCAGGAGCUGUGUUCUGGCUGGCUCUUCAGUACUUGGCUCCUAGAGAAGUAGAUGGCUGCAGAGAAGACACAGAGCAAGUAGAGGACAUUACCCAGAGCACUGAGCAGAGAUCUGGACUGUAGAAUCCAUCCUGCAGCACUGUGAGUCUGGAGCUAAACUAAGACAGAGGUUAUAGUAACUCCAUCCUUGAAGAUACUCAAACUCAGCUCAGAGGAAUGUGCCCUAAAUUGGCCUUCUGAGGAGGCAAGUGGACCAGAGACCUUCAGAGAUCCUUUCCAACAUGAAUUAUUCUGUGGUUCCAUACCUU